UGCGCAGGCGGGGAUGGAAGUCAGUGGUGAAAUACUGCCGCUCAACGGUAGAACUGCCAUUGAUACUGCAUCUCUUGAGUAUGGUUGAGGUAGGCGGAAUGUGUUGUGUAGCGGUGAAAUGCAUAGAUAUGACACAGAACGCCAAUUGCGAAGGCAGCUUACUAAGCCAUUACUGACGCUGAGGCACGAAAGCGUGGGGAGCGAACAGGAUUAGAUACCCUGGUAGUCC
rnacentral:rRNA from 1 species